AGGAGAACAUUAGUCAAGUUGUGGGAGCCAGAGUUCUGGGCCUGAAGCUCUGAGUCAGACUCCCAUUGGUGAGGGACAGGUCUCCUUGUCCUAAGAGUUUCUACACUCAGCUGGGCCCUGCAAAUGAGCAGAUCAGGUUGACAGGAGGGGCUAGUACUCAGCUCUGGCCCUGGGACCAGGUCCAGAGAAACAUCAAGGGACUUGGGCAGCCUUGACUCUAUUUCAAAGGCUGGCAUCAUCUGACUUUAGUUCAAGACAUGGGAUAAGAUUGCAUAAGAGAUUGAGAAAAAUACCAAGAAAACCAAAACAGCUUUCUUUAAAUAGGAGUCAGACCAUAGGCAGGGUACUUACAGUCCUACUUUGGCCUUAGUGGAGGAGAAUUCAAAUAACAGCUCAGAGUUGGAGAAGGAAAUAGAUACCAACCACCUUGUAGGAAGACGGAGGACUGACUCCCAGAGGUAGGGGAUCAAAGAAAGAUAAUUUCCCUCAAGGGGAGGCUUCAUUGUUGACAAUUAGGACUUAAGGACUAGUCAAGAGGAAAGCUGGACUAGAGAGUGGUUUGUGUUUAUAGGGUGGACCUGGAAGAAGUCUUCUUUCAUAGCAAGUUUGUUGGCAGUGGAAUGUAAGAGGUCUACACUCCCCUUCCCUGAGCUAAUCAAAAUUUCAUGACAUAUAUUUAGAUAGGCGGAACCAGAAGCUGUCUGAGUGAA